rnacentral:rRNA from 1 species
CCUACGGGUGGCUGCAGUCGAGAAUCAUUCACAAUGGGGGAAACCCUGAUGGUGCGACGCCGCGUGGGGGAAUGAAGGUCUUCGGAUUGUAAACCCCUGUCAUGUGGGAGCAAAUGAAAAAGAUAGUACCACAAGAGGAAGAGACGGCUAACUAGGUGCCAGCAGCCGCGGGAAUACAGAGGUCUCAAGCGGUGUUCGGAAUCACUGGGCGUAACGGGUGCGUAGGCUGUUUCGUAAGUCGUGUGUGAAAGGCGCGGGCUCAACCCGCGGACGGCACUUGAUACUGCGAGACUAGAGUCAUGGAGCGGGAACCGGAAUUCUCGGUGUAGCCGUGAAAUGCGUAGAUAUCGCGCGGAACUCUCGUGGCGAAGGCGGCUUCCUGGACCUUAACUGACGCUGCGGCACGAAGGCCAGGGGAGCGAACAGGAUUAGAUACCCUUGUAGUC